rnacentral:sRNA from 1 species
UAGGAUUCAUCCAAGAAAAUACGCCUCCAAUUGAACCAGUCAUUAAACCGGGUUUAACCACAAAAUUGCAUUUACUAUUCCGCGAUUACGAUUACCCACAUAAGUAAUCACGACCCGUCUUGAGAUUACCCACAUAAGUAAUCACGACCUGUCUUGAAACGACGUCGUUUCACCUUUGUUUUAUUUCCAA